UUGAAAUCAGCUGCCGUCGGCAUCAAGGGGAUCAACCCCAGCACCGCAGGGGCUCUCCCUCGUAACUGCGGAGUUAACAUUUACAAGAUCAGCCUCUCCAAAAACUGCGCCAAUGUCAAGUGAAGCAGACAGAGUGGCGAUUUUGGCCCCUGAGAUAUAAUAGUUUGAGAAGGAAAAUAAAGGCUCCGGCUCAGCUGUGUUUGCGUCGUACAUUUGGGAAUGGGUCUCCACUUUAGCGAGGCCCUUAGUUUGUGUCGUUAAUUACUUGUGUGGUUCUUUGUGUCGGGUCUUUCGUCAUAAAUGAGUUCCAUAUUUAUCAAUACAUAUUGCUACUUAAUUCUAUUUUAUCUUUGCUUGUAUUUCCAUCUUCUUUUCUUGCAAUUAUGAUUUACUAAAAGGAGGAUGCAGCUUUG
rnacentral:misc_RNA from 1 species